rnacentral:misc_RNA from 1 species
GUAAUGAAGUAAACACCAUCUAAAGCUGACAUGAAUAUUAAUCAAGUGCUAAAUUCUAAUGCAUAUGCAGUGAUGAUCGACGGGAACAAUAUUGUUUUCUAACCAUUAGGCUUGAAGCAAUCAAGAACUACAGCAAUGGCCAAGGAAGCCAAGCAAUAAACCAAAAUGUGACUUGAAAAAUAUACACAGGAAACCAGAAGACGCUUCACUUGCUGCAGAUUUUAGCUGUUGGCAUAGUCACACAAAUUGGUGCACACAAUUUCUUGGCCUCUGGGGACCCUGGUUUUGGCUGGUCAGCUACUGCAAUUCCAGCAACAGAGCAGACAGCAACUGCUGCUGCAGCAAACAUCAAAUCUCUCCUUCCAUUGCUGCUCUCUUUAUAAUCUACCUUAAUUUUCUCCACCUCUUUUCCACUAGCAGCAUUUGCCACCACAAGUGUUCAGCAUCCGAUGGUCACCGAAGACCUUGUAGCGAGGGUGGUGGUGCUGCUGAGAAAUAAGGCUGUCAUGUUGAUUGAGGCCGUAUCUGCAAUGUGGGUAAACUGAAGUUCUAACUAUUUGAACUGUAUUACUUUCGUCUUUUCUCUAUAGAAUCGAGGUAAGUUGAACUAGGAAAAUAUGUGGAAGAAAGAUUGAGUGCGUCAUCAACACCUUAUCCCCAUAUGAUAUUUGUCCCAAUAGCUCAGAGCCACCCAUCACAGGAUGAAGUGGUGGCCUUGUGUCCUCUACUUGUCUUCAUUUGGCUUUAAGAUGUAUCAGCUCUAGAAAUAAGUCCAAUUUAUUUAUAUUAUAUAUAUAUAGAGAGAGAGAG